rnacentral:rRNA from 1 species
CUACGGGGGGCUGCAGUGGGGAAUCUUGCACAAUGGGCGAAAGCCUGAUGCAGCAACGCCGCGUGCGGGAUGAAGGCCCUAGGGUUGUAAACCGCUUUCAGUAGGGAAGAAAAUGACGGUACCUACAGAAGAAGGUGCGGCCAACUACGUGCCAGCAGCCGCGGUGACACGUAGGCACCAAGCGUUAUCCGGAUUUAUUGGGCGUAAAGAGCUCGUAGGCGGUUCGGUAAGUCGGGUGUGAAAACUCUGGGCUCAACCCAGAGACGCCACCCGAUACUGCUGUGACUAGAGUGCGGUAGGGGAGCGGGGAAUUCAUGGUGUAGCGGUGAAAUGCGCAGAUAUCAUGAGGAACACCAGCGGCGAAGGCGCCGCUCUGGGCCGUAACUGACGCUGAGGAGCGAAAGCAUGGGUAGCAAACAGGAUUAGAUACCCGGGUAGUC